AAAGGAAGGGUUAUGAUUUUAGCAGUGUAUGUAUGUAUGUAUGUUUGUAUCCAGAUUCUGUGUGUUCCACCGUAGCGCCUAAACUACUGGGCCGAUUUUGAUGAAUGAGGUGUCAAUCGAUUCGUUGUUGUACUCCGGGUGACAUAGGCUACAUUUUAUACGAAAAAAAUUGACCAAACGGA